CCUACGGGAGGCAGCAGUGAGGAAUAUUGGUCAAUGGACGAGAGUCUGAACCAGCCAAGUAGCGUGAAGGAUGACUGCCCUAUGGGUUGUAAACUUCUUUUAUAAAGGAAUAAAACGAGGCACGUGUGCCUUUUUGCAUGUACUUUAUGAAUAAGGAUCGGCUAACUCCGUGCCAGCAGCCGCGGUAAUACGGAGGAUCCGAGCGUUCUCCGGAUUUAUUGGGUUUAAAGGGAGCGUAGAUGGGUUGUUAAGUCAGUUGUGAAAGUUUGCGGCUCAACCGUAAAAUUGCAAUUGAUACGGGCAGUCUUUAGUACAGUUGCGGUCGGCUGAAUUCUUGGUGUCGCGG
rnacentral:rRNA from 1 species